rnacentral:rRNA from 1 species
UACGGGGGGAGCAAGCGUUGUUCGGAUUUACUGGGCGUAAAGGGCGCGUAGGCGGCCACCGCAAGUCGGUUGUGAAAUCUCUGGGCUUAACCCAGAAAGGUCAACCGAUACUGCGGGGCUAGAGUGCAGAAGGGGCAACUGGAAUUCUCGGUGUAGCGGUGAAAUGCGUAGAUAUCAAGAGGAACACCUGAGGUGAAGGCGGGUUGCUGGGCUGACACUGACGCUGAGGCGCGAAAGCCAGGGGAGCAAACGGG